AAGCUGCCUAUAUGGACUAGUCUAUAAAGUAUUUCUGCUAGAAACAUGAGGAAUAUGUGACUGCAACAUACUUUUCUUACUACAGCCUGCAUACAGAAUGUUCUUUAAAUGAGCACAGAAUGUGCUUCAGAAUGAAAGAUUCUCAGUGAAAGCUAGUAGUUAAAAUUAAUAUCCACUUGAUGUGAAAAUGGAACAAACAUCAGAAGGACCAAGCAUUUUGCUUGGCUAAAGAAACUGCAGUUCUCAAGAGGAGGAAUUUAUCUACGUUGGGAAUUUGUUAAUAGAUAAUUGAUGUAUACAAUGGAUAUGCAUAUACCAUUUGGAUUUUUUUUCUACUGUAGCUUCACGCAAUUUUUGGCAUUGUAAUCUUUCAAGAUGUCAAUGCUUCUUUAUACAUUUCAUGCGCUUAUAUGUAAAGUAUGUUUAAAUAAGCCACUGUUUUCAGUAGAUCCUGCUUUUUCAGUGAAACUCGCGUUUUGAAUAUUGUGGUUGUCAGAAUUCUGAAGCAGCAAUGCAAUAAAAGAAGUUGUAUAAGAUCUUUUAUAUACAGAAACCUAGAUGUACACUUUGCAUAUAUGUACAAGUGCUUUUCUCUGGUUACAGUGUUUGCAGUCUAGUGCUAGUAAUCUUUACUAUGAAAGGACUUUCUAUUUUUAAUCCUUUAGAUAAUUUUUCUUUAUAAAGAAAUAUAAUUAAAAGUGACUUUAUUGCGAACAGUUUUGAAGUGCUGAAAUUACACAUGCUGCCUAUUUUUCAAAGCCUGUUACUGCUAAUGAGUUUUUUAUCAUUAUUCUGCAAAGAAUGGUGAUGUUAUGAAUUGGUAUGUUAUAUUGUCAACAAGCAUUGUUUUUGAAGAAAAGGUUUGAAGAUAUUCAAAACUAUCACUGUUGCAACAAAUCUAUUGCUUUCUUUUAAAUAGUUGCGCCAUCCAUUACAGUCCUUUGAAUUCUGACAGUAAUUCAGGCAAACAGGAGGAACCAAAGACCAGAUGAUGCUUGUGUAGCAGGCAUUUUUCUGUUCAUUGCCAAGUGCACAGUUCACUGUUCGGUCACCUGUGUCGGCUGGUUUAGUGCCUUUAAUGCAGUUCUCUGCAUGCUCCCUAUUCUAUAAAGCUUACUUGGGGACUUCAGACAUGGCCUGUCUUAUUAUUCCCUAAGGAAGGGUAAGGCCUUUACUGUCCAGCUGGAAGGAUCACUAAUUAGAGCCCUUGCUUUGGCACAGAGUGUGUCAAGCCUGCAAGCCUUCCUGCUGGGAUCAAUGGCAUUCAUGUUUGCUUUCAUGAAUGCACAAUGGACAGGGAUCUUGGCAAAGAACUGCCUAUUUAGCUUGUGCUGAGAAGCUGAGUCUUCACAACAUUUUAAAGUAAUUGUAGAGGUAGAAAGGGAGCUAUAAGAAUACACCCUUAUUAUUCUGCUCAAAAAAAAAAAAAAAAAAAAAG